UAAAGAGUGGGUAUAAUUAAAUGAGGGGUAUUGUAGUAAUUGUAUAAAGAGAUGAUAUAUAUAAAUAGAAGGAAAACAAAAAAAACAAAAGAAGAGAUCUGAAUAUUUUGAGAGUUAACCGUGAGAGAGAAGGGAGAAGGGAGAAGGGAGAAAGAAGAAGAAGAAGAGAAAAGAAAGAAAUUAGAAAGGAAAUAGAAAGGAGUUGGAGAAAAUAAGUAAAAAGAAAAGAUUAUGUAUAAAUAUAUGUUAAUUAAGCUUUAAUUUCGAUUUUGAUAAAUGUUAGGGUUAUGAAAUUUGUGUUUUGGGUUUGAUUGAUGAUUUAAUUUGAAUGUUAUAGAGUUAAUUGUUGUGGGUAUUUGAUUAUUUGGAUGAUUUUGAGAGAUUGAAUUGAAAGAUGAUGAUUUUGAGUUAUGAUUUUGUUUGAAUGGUGAAAUUGUGUUAGGAAUUUGGAGAGAACAGUAGGUUUCUGUUAAAAAUUCUGGGUUGGAGGUUGAAGAUGACAAAAUUUCGGUUUGGUCCCUCAAUUUUGGAAAAUUACAGUUUAGUCCCCAAACUUUGGAAAAUUUGCAGAUUGGUCCCUGGAGCAUAUUCCGAGAAUCUGAACAGAAUAACAUAUGAAUUAUGGACAGAAUUACUGUAUAGAUAAGAGAAUUUAACACUUUCAAUUUAGUCCUUCAAUUUGACAAAAUUACAAUUUGACCCUAAAAAAAUUUGGUAAAAUUCCAGAAUGGUCCUUGGAGUAUAAUGAGAUGAUCUGGACAGAAAUGAGGACUAAUUAUGGUCAGAAAUUCAGUAUAGUAAUGGAUUUAUGACAAUUUCAGUUUGGUCCUUCAAUUUGACAAAAGUUGCAAUUUGACCCUUAAAAAUAUGAUAAAUUACAGAUUAGUCCCCAGCUGUAAUAUUAACUUUUUCAGAUUGGUUUGAUGAAUAAGUGAGGGUUAUUUAGUGAAUUAUGGCCAAUUUUAUUAUUUGUUUUAUUAUGGAUUAAAUUUCGGGAAAACCGUUAAAUGUUGGGUUUUUAGGAAAGAUACCUAGUUAGUUCAAAAACAUAUAGGGUUAUGGAAUAUACCCUUAGAUAAGUGUAUUAAAUAGGCUAUAUAUUCCUUUGAGUUAUUCUUGAAUAUGUCUCCUUUAUAUUCAGAUAAUCCUGAUAUUCUACCGGCGGGACGUCAGUAGGAUUUUCUUCAGUAAUUGCUUUUGACUUCUGUUUGCUUUCGAGUCAGGCUUAUAGCUUGAUAGCAGGUCACUUUUGUUGAACCUUCAGAACCUGCUCUUUGGUUGUACUUUGUACAUUUUCUUUUAUGUCUAGUUAGUGCUCCAAAACUAUGAAAUUGUAUUAACUCUUGUAUUAAGACAAUUUAAUUAUAUUAUGAAGUUAAUUUUGUUGUUACUGCUGCGUUGAACUCUGAUUGACUUAUUUGAAGAAUAAGUUUGUGUGUAAGUUUGGGUUCGUAUAGGUAUGGAACCUUGAAGGGGAACCUUGCCUAUGUGCCGGUCAUGGAUCCGAUGUGAGGCAAUUUUGUCCUUGGGGGGCUUUUGGCUGGAGACGUUUCUCUUCUUUGGGCUUCGGUUGGUGCUUCCUACUAUGGCUGCGCUUGGUUCCUGCUAACUCACAAGAGUCCUUCGCGCUCUUUCUUGAGUUUUCUUAUGGGGUCUGGGACAGCCGGGUUUUCUUCGGCUUAGGCCUCCUCUGGGUCUGUUCGGGCUCCUGUUCAGCAGCGUUACUUGAAUUCGGAAACGGCUUAAGGCUCCAGGGAAGGCUUUGUUUUUUGUGGCGGUUGCUUUGAUUUUUUAUCGAUUGUGGCUAUUUGCUCAGAAAAGGUGGACUGUAACGAUGAUUAUGCAUGAAAUGCAAAGCUCACUUGGCUGGGUCUUGGUCCUUGUGCAA